rnacentral:rRNA from 1 species
AUUGAACGCUGGCGGCAUGCCUUACACAUGCAAGUCGAACGGUAACGGGCCUUCGGGUGCCGACGAGUGGCGCACGGGUGAGUAAUACAUCGGAACGUGCCCGAUCGUGGGGGAUAACGAGGCGAAAGCUUUGCUAAUACCGCAUACGAUCUACGGAUGAAAGCAGGGGACCGCAAGGCCUUGCGCGGACGGAGCGGCCGAUGGCAGAUUAGGUAGUUGGUGGGAUAAAAGCUUACCAAGCCGACGAUCUGUAGCUGGUCUGAGAGGAUGAUCAGCCACACUGGGACUGAGACACGGCCCAGACUCCUACGGGAGGCAGCAGUGGGGAAUUUUGGACAAUGGGCGCAAGCCUGAUCCAGCCAUGCCGCGUGCAGGAUGAAGGCCUUCGGGUUGUAAACUGCUUUUGUACGGAACGAAAAGCCUUCUUUUAAUACAGGGGGGUCAUGACGGUACCGUAAGAAUAAGCACCGGCUAACUACGUG